AACGAACGCUGGCGGCAGGCCUAACACAUGCAAGUCGAGCGCACCUUCGGGUGAGCGGCGGACGGGUUAGUAACGCGUGGGAACGUGCCCUUCUCUACGGAAUAGCCCAGGGAAACUUGGAUUAAUACCGUAUACGCCCUUUGGGGGAAAGAUUUAUCGGAGAAGGAUCGGCCCGCGUUGGAUUAGGUAGUUGGUGGGGUAAUGGCCUACCAAGCCGACGAUCCAUAGCUGGUUUGAGAGGAUGAUCAGCAACACUGGGACUGAGACACGGCCCAGACUCCUACGGGAGGCAGCAGUGGGGAAUCUUAGACAAUGGGGGAAACCCUGAUCUAGCCAUGCCGCGUGGACGAUGAAGGCCUUAGGGUUGUAAAGUCCUUUCGCUGGGGAAGAUAAUGACGGUACCCAGUAAAGAAGCCCCGGCUAACUCCGUGCCAGCAGCCGCCGUAACAC
rnacentral:rRNA from 1 species